GCAGUCUGCAACUCGACUGCAUGAAGCUGGAAUCGCUAGUAAUCGCGGAUCAGAAUGCCGCGGUGAAUACGUUCCCGGGUCUUGUACACACCGCCCGUCACACCAUGGGAGUCAGUAACGCCCGAAGUCAGUGACCGAACCGAGAGGACGGAGCUGCCGAAGGCGGGACGGAUAACUGGGGUGAAGUCGUAACAAGGUAAC
rnacentral:rRNA from 1 species